rnacentral:ribozyme from 1 species
UCCUCCUGAAGAAACUAUUGUGCAGAAUUAUCGUCAAAAAGAAAAGAAAAAAAAUAAGAAGAAGCAGUUAAAUACUUUAGUUACUCGAGCCAAUGUUAUUGUUCUUUUGCUCUGGUUGGUUUGGAUUAUUCUUCUUUGGUAUGUAAUUUUGAGUACAAAGGAAUUAAA